rnacentral:lncRNA from 1 species
ACAAUAUUAAUAUCCCUUUCCCGUGAUGAUUAUCAUAACAGAAUCAAGUAUAGUGGAACUAAGAAGGAACAACGAAACAGUAGUAAAAAUGAAUUAUUACAACACUGUUCAUUCUAAUAAAAUCAAUAUACAACUUCUUUUACAGCUCAAUCUGACUGUACUUAAUUACUCCAAACUCAAAAACUCCUAGGUGCAAUAUCAACAAUUAUCAUGAAAGGUAUUUUGUAUCAGAAAUGAGCAGAUUAUUGCAACUUCAGCAUGUUAUAUGGCAUUUUAGGCAUACAAUGAGGAGGAAAUUUAAGGAAUAACACAGUAUAUUCAACUUAUCACUCAAAACUAGAUUCCAAACAAUAAUCAAAUAAACACAACUUGAGGGGUAUCAAAUAAAUUAGCAAUGAUCAAAUAAACACAACUUACAGCAGAGUAGACAAAAAGAAAACAAAUCUCUGAAGUUGGGAAGGAGCAACAGCAAGAACAAACACAGCAGCAGAAAACAUCACACAAUAGCUUUAAACCUUACUCCCAAAAAAUCCAAAAAUAAAUCAGAACCAAUGGAACAGUGUUGAUAAAUUCUGAUUCCUACUUUUAGAAUGUUUUUUGUGAAAAGAAAUGAGUGAGGGUGAGUGUUGAUUCUCUGAAAAAUGCCAAAAUUCGUGUGUGUGUGUUAUGCAGAGAAUCAACGAAUAUAUAGGAGAAUGUCAACGGUAAAAAUGGAACAAAAAAUAUCUUUUUCAACCAAUUUUUGUAAAGUUAUCCCUUUUCAGUUAUUCUUUUUUCCUUUUUAAACCUUUGUAUUUUCUAUAUUCACUCCUCAGCCCUAACACCUGGCUACUUUGUUUUUUAUUUUUAUUUUUUUGCAAAUUAGCCCCUCCUAGAAGCUUCCUAGAUAACUAAACAAGAUUCCCUAUUUUUGGCAUACCCUUUAGCCCCCUCAAUUUCCUGUAUUUACUAUUUAUUUGAGAUUUAAAAUCUAAAAGCAGACUAACACUUAGAUCUUAGUUACAAUGGAUAGAUGUUAAACAUGACUUAUUAAGAAAUGACUAAUUAAUUAAGACAGAACAUUGACAUUUAAUUAAUUUGUAAGAAAACAAAAUGCGAUUUAAACUAUCAAUUUUGCCUAAACAUCAUGAUUAAGUAUUAAAAUAAAUCACUACUAACCUACCUCUAAACAAAUUUGAGUUUUGACCAAAUGAAAUUCAAAAAACAAAUAUAACUUGCCAAGAUUAACAGUUUAAAUCAAACAACCAAAUAAGUUCAGUCAAAGAAAUUAAUCCUAAGUAUAACCUAAACUAAGUGACAGAAUCAUAAAAAAUAAAAACUUUUAACCUAAUGCAAAUAUCUCAAAGGUGAGGAGCGGAUGAAAAGAGAUUACCUAUUGAAACUCUAUUGACAUGACAGAGAAAACCUCCGAGAAAAAUUGGCUGGCCAACAGCCAGCUGACCAAAACAUGACUUCUGAGAAACGGGAUGAAUCCCACAUCAGUGGAAAACUCGUGUCAAGAUCUUUCUACUGAUGUGAGUCUCAACUGCAAAAGAGGACGGAUUGGUCGAGGUUAUGAAGACAGAUUGCAUGGCGGCUAGGAUUUGGUUUUAAAUUUUGAAAUUUGAGAGAUUCAGUGAGUUUUUAGCAGAAAUUAAAAGCGGGAUAGUCAUGGGGAGAUUGUGGAGAUUGUAUGGUGAGAGUUCGGGUGGAUUUGGGGUUGCGCUGUCGGCAAGGGUGGCUUAUGGUGGUGGUAGGCGUUUAGGGUAUGAAAGUAUUUGAGAGAAGAUGAAAUGAAGGGCUUC